GUUACGUCUGGAGAAAGGGAGACAUAAUCAGAUCGAAAACAGUGAUGUUCAAAGAGUACCCGAAGCUAGCGUGCAGCUAGCAGGCUGCACUCUGCUGGGACAGGACAAAGGACAAAGGCAUUAUGUUGUUUUUUCUGAAUCUUUGGUUUUUAUUUAGCCUUUUCUCUAUUUUCUUCAGUGAGUCUUAGCUGCACACUGCCUUUGAAACACAUGUUCAACAAGAAGCCACAGAAACCUUUAUCACAUUAAAGUCUCAUUGUUUCUGUACCGAUUUUCAUGUAUUCUCAUGUGUUUGGCUCCCAGAGUGUCGAUUCCUCCUUCUGUCUCAUCUUCCUCUGUUCUCUGUUACCUGGUCUUUCAGAGUACUGUUAGGGUGAUAUUCUGCCAAGUGUGAAGUUGAUGAGCUUCACAGUUACAACAGGUUAACAUUUCUGAAUAACAUGAUGAAAGUACAAGCAUGAACAUUUUAAACAUGUUUUUAUAUUUAUUUAUAUUUCAACAAUAUGUUUGAAUGUUUUAAUCCAGCAGUUUAAGGUCAGGCUCAGACUAAAGUCUGUGCUAAGACGACACCAUUGCAAAAUGUUCAUUUAGUUUUUCAGAGGUGGGCUUUCUGCAUCAUUACCCUGUUGCAUAAUCUGAGUGAGCUAAAGGGCAUGAACUGAUAGCUUCAUAUUCUCCUUCAGGAUUAUCAGAUAGGGAGCAGAAUUCAUGUUCAU